AUGUUUCAAGAGACUCCAACAGAAAGUAUACAGUUUAUCAUGUUAUUAUGUUUCAAGAGACUCCAACAGAAAGUAUCCUGUAUAUCAAGUUAUUAUGUUCCAAGAGACUCCAACAGAGAAAGCAUCCAGUACAUCAAGUUAUGUUUCAAGAGACUCCAACAGACAGUAUCCAGUAUAUGAAGUUAUUAUGUUCCAAGAUACUACAACAGAAAGUUUUCAGUGGCUGCCUCAUUUUAAUGGUUCUGAUAAAAGAUAUAAAUUUGUCUUCAUGUUUAAUUUGUUAGGUGUGGUUUUGUGGUUAUGAAUUUGUAAUAUUCUUUACUACUAAUGAAAUGAUGAUACCUCAAACUGUCAUAAUGUACUUUUCUCAUUAAAUUACUUUAAGUCACAAGUGUGUUGUUACCUUAAGUAUAUGAUGAAUUUCAAGUACAGUGGAGACGAAAACUAAAUUUUCUGAUAUCUGUGAAGCUAUAAGUGAUUUCUCCAAGUCUGUUCCUUUAGCUGAUGAUAUUUGUGAAGCUAUAAGUGAUUUCUUUAAGACUGUUGUUUUAUCAGUGGGGUGCUGUUGCUGUUGAAAAGUAUCUUUGGCCAUAAACAUGAUAAUAUCUCAUGAGGUGUAGCUUCAUAAAGGUACUUACUAAUCCAACACACAUUUUCAGCUUAAAUAAAAUAAAGUAUUUUAUUUGGUAACCUAUUUAUCUUGUACUAGAAUCUAUAAAAGUUAGCACGUUAAUUACUUUAUUAACUACUCAUUGACUUCCACCUGACAGAUUCAAGGUGUAAGAGUGAUAGGAGUGAACAGCUGCACUGCUUUGAUUAUAUGGAAAGAUGCUUCAACUCGUUGUCUUUUGACUUAUGAGGUAGAGUUCAGGAAAACAGGUGGUGGUUACCAAAGAAUUAACACUCAAGAUAUUAUAUUUCCAUCUUUCCAGUUUUCUUGUUUCCACAGAAGAGACUUUCAGAAAAGUUCUUCAAUUGCUGGACAUUACAGAGUGAGAGCCAUGGAUUUUUGGAACCAAACAGGACCAUAUUCUCACCCAGUUUAUUAUGUAAAUAUUA